rnacentral:rRNA from 1 species
AUGAACGCUAGCGGCAGGCUUAACACAUGCAAGUCGAGGGGCAGCACGGGUAGCAAUACCUGGUGGCGACCGGCGCAAGGGUGCGUAACGCGUGAGCAACAUGCCCUAUACAGGGGGAUAAUCCAGGGAAACUUGGUCUAAUAUCCCAUAGCAUUUAGAGGAGGCAUCUUCACUAAAUUAAAGCUUCGGUGGUAUAGGAUUGGCUCGCGUGACAUUAGCUAGAUGGUGAGGUAACGGCCCACCAUGGCUAUGAUGUCUAGGGGUUCUGAGAGGAAGACCCCCCACACUGGGACUGAGACACGGCCCAGACUCCUACGGGAGGCAGCAGUGAGGAAUAUUGGACAAUGGAUGGAAAUCUGAUCCAGCCAUGCCGACGUGCAGGAAGACGGCCCUAUGGGUUGUAAACUGCUUUUAUAUGGGAGCAAUAAGGUUUACGAGUAGACCGAUGAGAGUACCAUAUGAAUAAGCAUCGGCUAACUCCGUG